GCGAACGCUGGCGGUAUGCUUAACACAUGCAAGUCGAGCGCGAAAGUGACUUCGGUCAUGAUUAGAGCGGCGGACGGGUGAGUAACACGUGGAUAAUCUGCCUUAAGGACUGGGAUAACUCUGGGAAACUAGGGCUAAUACCGGAUAAGACCACAGGUUCUAUGGAACCAGCGGUAAAAGGCGGCCUUCGGGCUGUCACCUAAAGAUGAGUCCGCGUCCCAUCAGGUAGUUGGUGAGGUAACGGCUCACCAAGCCGAAGACGGGUAGCCGACCUUAGCGGGUGAUCGGCCACACGGGGACUGAGACACGGCCCCGACUCCUACGGGAGGCAGCAGUGGGGAAUCUUGGGCAAUGGGCGCAAGCCUGACCCAGCAAUACCGCGUGAGGGAUGAAGGCCUUCGGGUCGUAAACCUCUGUCAGUUGGAACGAUGGGUCUCCGGGCUAAUACCCCGGAGAUUUGACGGUACC
rnacentral:rRNA from 1 species